CGAGUAAAUUGACAAGUCUAGUAGCCGUCGGGAUUGUUGGCAUUGAUCGGCGACGACUAGCCGCCAUGGCGGAGGAUCACUCCGACGUUGCUUCCGCCUCUACGAGGAACACUUGCUUGAGGCUGGAGCUCCCCGUGGAGGACCCCAAGAGCAAGGAUGCCGUCUUCGUCAAGGCCGCCUGGUUCCCCUCCCGCUUCGAACUCGCUAUCUCCGACGGCCUCAACGCCUGGACCUGCCAUGCGACGGAGGCGGAGGUGAGGCUUAGGGCGGAGCAGUGGGACCUUUCGGUGACCGAGUACAUCUCCCUUUCCGAGCAGUAUCUUGGAUUCCAGCAGCCGGGAUCCAAGUAUGGAUUUGAAGACGCCGGAAACGGGCAGCGUAGGUUGUCAUGGACUUUUGAGAAGCAAGGCACUAAAUUGGAGUGGCGAUGGAAGUGCAAACCAUCAUCUGACAACAAGAAAAUGACAUCAGAAAUUCUGGAUUUCCUUAUGGAUGCAAACAUACGCUUGAGUGAAGAAGUUGUUAGAAGGGCACGCUCUUUUGAGAUAUUAAAAUCAGAAGCUGAUAAAUGUUUAGAGCAAAGCGAACGUUUCAGUAAUGAGAAAUCUGAAUUUGAAUCUGCAGUCUACAACAAGUUUGUGGCUGUCUUGAACUCUAAGAAAGCCAAAUUGCGAGAGCUAAGGGAUAAGCUAUCGAAUCUGGAGGCUACUGCAAAAGCUCCAAAGGAGGAGGAUGAUUCAACUGAUAAAACUGAGAGCUUUGACGAAGCCAGCGACCGGGAAACCCUAAUAAAGGAGGAGCCUGACGAAGAGUGACCAUCCCUCUACACCCGGAAUGACAAUCAGCUACGAUGUGAAAUUUCUAAAGACAACUUUUUGUGAAUGUGAAUUCAACUUUACAACAUGGGUUGAAGAACUCAACUAUACACGAAGCAUUUUACCAGGUCAUCGCUCAACAAGGGCUCUACUGGAGAGCUGUGCACCUUAUAAUGUUGGUUGAGGGAUGGUUUUCACUCCUGGAGCAUGAUUACAGUCACUGAUCCAAGUAUAUCCAUUCGAACACACAUAGAUCUUGUAAAUGGUCAUGCCCCAUUCACCGAGAAAGCUCGAAAUUUCUACAAGAAACUAGCUCAGAGAUUAUCUGAUAAUUCAGUUGUUCUUGAUCUCUUUGCUUGCUCUCUUAAUCAGAUGGUUGGAUAAGAUAGAUGCUUAUACGCUUCCCAGCAAGAGUUGGGACCAUAUAUAUGGUUGAAGACCCAUCAACAUUUCAAUUAUCAUCAAACUUCACCCUCUAUCCACAAUUCAUGUAUUACCUGCAGAGAUCACAGUUCGUCGAUGUCUUUUCUGGUGUUAGCUCAAUCUCCCCUGAUGUUAUUUUGCUCUU